GGAAGUUGCCCUACUUCCGGUACGGGAAACUUAGCUGCUACCCUGACCCGGCUUGACAGGUGCGGUUCCUGCAAGUAGCGCUCUCUCCUUUCCCCUCGCUCCUGUCUAACCUUCAAACUGGUUUGCCGCCACCGUCCCGCAGCUUCUGUCUCCGAACGCGCCCCUUCCCUAUGUUCCGGGGCAGGAGUCCUGACACCCAAGACCCGCCCGCCGGUUCCCCGUCAUGUCCGAAGUGACUAAAGAGCUGAUGGAGCUGGUGUGGGGCACCAAGAGCAGCCCCGGGCUCUCGGAUACCAUCUUCUGCCGUUGGACGCAAGGGUUUGUGUUUAGUGAAUCAGAGGGAUCUGCAUUAGAACAGUUUGAAGGUGGUCCUUGCGCUGUCAUUGCACCUGUUCAGGCAUUUCUUUUGAAGAAGCUCCUGUUUUCUUCGGAGAAGUCAUCUUGGCGGGAUUGCUCAGAGGAAGAGCAGAAGGAACUCCUUUGUCACACCUUAUGUGAUAUUUUAGAAAGCACCUGCUGUGACAAUUCUGGAUCAUAUUGUUUGGUUUCGUGGCUGAGAGGAAGGACAGCUGAGGAAACUGCUAGUAUUUCUGGAAGUCCUGCAGAGUCUAGUUGCCAAGUGGAACACUCUUCUGCCUUGGCUGUCGAAGAGCUUGGCUUUGAGCGAUUUCAUGCAUUAAUUCAAAAAAGAUCGUUCAGAAAUUUAUCAGAAUUAAAAGAUGCUGUUUUGGACCAGUAUCCCAUGUGGGGAAACAAAUUUGGAGUCUUGCUGUUUCUGUAUUCUGUCUUAUUGACAAAGGGCAUUGAAAACAUAAAAAAUGAAAUUGAAGAUGCAAGUGAACCUUUGAUAGAUCCUGUAUAUGGACAUGGCAGCCAAAGUUUAAUUAACCUCCUACUGACGGGGCAUGCUGUUUCCAAUGUAUGGGAUGGUGAUAGAGAAUGUUCAGGAAUGCAACUUCUUGGUAUACAUGAGCAAGCAGCUGUAGGAUUCUUAACAUUAAUGGAAGCUUUAAGAUACUGUAAGGUUGGAUCUUACUUGAAAUCUCCAAAAUACCCUAUUUGGAUUGUUGGCAGUGAAACUCACCUCACUGUGUUUUUUGCCAAGGAUAUGGCUUUAGUUGCUCCUGAAGCCCCUUCAGAACAAGCCAGGAGGGUUUUUCAAACCUAUGAUCCAGAAGACAAUGGAUUCAUACCUGAUUCACUUCUGGAAGAUGUAAUGAAAGCUUUGGACCUUGUUUCAGAUCCUGAAUAUAUAAACCUCAUGAAGAAUAAAUUAGAUCCAGAAGGAUUAGGAAUCAUAUUAUUGGGUCCAUUUCUUCAAGAAUUUUUUCCUGAUCAGGGCUCCAGUGGUCCAGAAUCUUUUACUGUCUACCACUACAAUGGACUGAAGCAAUCAAAUUAUAAUGAAAAGAGGAAGGAAGCAGCCCGGAAGCAGCAAAGCUGGGAUUGAAACAAGAAGCCUGGCUCAGAGCCUGUAUUUUUACCCAGCUGUUAUUUUCCCUUGUACAUCAAAGACACCUAAGUGACUCAUUUCCAAAUGUACCUGCCUCAUUUAAAGCAGAAGCUUUGUCUCACCUUGUCACUGUUUCUGGGUGAAAUACCAGCCUUGUGUAUAUAUGCGAUGUGCUUGUUUGCAUCUAUUCAAGUAACAAUGUUCAUAUAGCUAAUAUUAGAAGGAAUGAUACCUAAUAUUUUUUAAAAUUUGAUUUAUACUGCUGGUUUCAUAAGUAUCUAAAUUGAAGGAUGCUUGCAGAAAAUAGAUUAUAAUUUAAAUUAAACAUAUACUUUUCAUUAAACCAAAUUGAAAAGACUAAAAUUUCCUUUGAUUUUUUUCAUAGCAAAAUAUAAAUGAGAAGUACUAUUAUAUCCAAAAUCUUUUCACAAAAAUGUAAUUUAUUGAUAAAUAUAGCAGAGAAUAAAAAUUGUCAACAAGAAAAUUUGGAUGCUAUUAAUGUGUAUUAAUGAGAGCUUUAUGUAGACUAUGAAGUUUCACAUAGCUUUGUAAUAGGUACUUUAUAGUCACUAACUCGUUAUUCACUGACACAAUCUCUGCAAGGUAGCCAGUCAAAUAUUACCCAUAUUUUACAGAUGAGGCAUCUGAGACAGGGAGAUUAAGUGACUUGCCCAGGGUCGCACAGCAAGUCCUUGGCAGAGCAGGGAUUGGAACUGAGUUCCUGACUGCCAAUCCUGUCCUUGGUCUGCUUGGCCACACUGCCUGUCUCUAGUAAUGUAUGUAGAAGGAACUGCAGUUAUUAUGGGUUUUGAAGAACCGAGGCUGCAGACAGAUGACACUCCUAUCAAAGGCUGUCUCCAAACCAAGUGGCCAUACAUUGAACUGCUCUGGUCCACAGAUCGCUCACCUUCCCUGAACUGAUUUGCCUAAGUAUUUAUAAGCUCGUAAUAACAGAUGUGCAAAGAGAGAUUUGUGACUGGCACAUGGCUACAUUAAGCUAAACGGUGGUCUCCUCAUUGAUUAACUGUAAAUAUAACUAAAAACACAUUUUUUAGUGUUUAAGAUAUGUUUAAAUUAUUUGUUUUAAAGCUUUAUGUUAAAGGUUAUACUAUUUUAGCACGUGAUGUGACUUUUACUAGCAAAAUUAACCUUUCAUCGAAGUCCAUCACUUGUAGUCAGAUAAUUUGGUCAUUGACUUAUCAAAUACUUACUUAUAAACACCAAAAUACUGUAGCAUUUUUAUAAUAAAUAUCAGAAUCACCAUUUUUCAACCUUUACUUUUGGGUUUUAUUUCAUUUGGGCGUAUUUGUUGUUUGAAUAAUUCUGGCUUAUAUCAGCUCCAUACUGAAGCGCAGAAGAAUUAAUUUUAUUUUUUUUUCUAAAUUCUGUUUUUCAUUAGAAAUAUUGAUAAAUAACAAAUUAUCAGCCCAGAUCCUUUGAAAAUUGGCUUGACUCUGGCAUGUUUACAAAAUGUAGAAACUAUAUGGAAACUUCCCAUUUAUUCACAGGUGUGUGGGGGUGUAUCUAUUUCUUAAAUGAUAGAAACAAGAAUCUGUUUGAUAGUCUUGACACUGUUAACUUUCACUGUGUAUUGCCAAAUACACUUUUCCAAAUUUGUUUCAAAGCCCCAUAAGCCAGCUUUCUUGUAUAUUUAUAAAUGUGAUGAAUGCAUGAGAACAUCUGUUAUUACAUUAGUAUACUGCAUUAUUUAUUAUGGUCCUAAUUGAUAGCAUAAAUAAAAACUUUUUUCUUUAA